CUUUUAAUUUCAUCUACUACCUCUAUUAGGAUUUGGGAGUUAUAGAGGUAGUAGUUGAAAUUAAGAG
rnacentral:miRNA from 1 species